CAGUCGCCACGGUAAUACGUAGGGUGCGAGCGUUAAUCGGAAUUACUGGGCGUAAAGCGUGCGCAGGCGGUUUUGUAAGACAGAGGUGAAAUCCCCGGGCUCAACCUGGGAACUGCCUUUGUGACUGCAAGGCUAGAGUACGGCAGAGGGGGAUGGAAUUCCGCGUGUAGCAGUGAAAUGCGUAGAUAUGCGGAGGAACACCGAUGGCGAAGGCAAUCCCCUGGGCCUGUACUGACGCUCAUGCACGAAAGCGUGGGGAGCAAACAGGAUUAGAUACCCCAGUAGUCCCUGUCUCUUAUAC
rnacentral:rRNA from 1 species